rnacentral:rRNA from 1 species
AUUGAACGCUGGCGGCAUGCUUUACACAUGCAAGUCGAACGGUAACAGGGUGCUUGCACCGCUGACGAGUGGCGAACGGGUGAGUAAUGCGUCGGAACGUGCCGAGUAGUGGGGGAUAACGCAGCGAAAGUUGUGCUAAUACCGCAUACGUACUGAGGUAGAAAGUGGGGGACCUUCGGGCCUCACGCUAUUCGAGCGGCCGACGUCUGAUUAGCUAGUAGGUGAGGUAAAGGCUCACCUAGGCGACGAUCAGUAGCGGGUCUGAGAGGAUGAUCCUCCACACUGGGACUGAGACACGGCCCAGACUCCUACGGGAGGCAGCAGUGGGGAAUUUUGGACAAUGGGCGAAAGCCUGAUUCAGCCAUGCCGCGUGUCUGAAGAAGGCCUUCGGGUUGUGAAGGACCUUUGUCAGGGAGGAAAUCCCUAGUGCUAAUAACACUGGGGGAUGACAGUACCUGAAGAAUAAGCACCGGCUAACUACGUGCCAGCCGCCGCGGUAA